UGCAAGGGAAAAGAAUUCGUGAGAAUCCCGUGCAAAAAAGGUUGAGGCUUCCCUCUUCUUCCUUCCACAAUUUUCUCUUCUCUUCUUACCUAAAAAUCCCCUCAAAAUCAUAACUUCCCAUAUUUAAUUGAGUAAUCACUCUCCUUAUUCAAGGAAAUUAUCUCAUUUCCAAUGUUAAAUUUUGUAAAAAAAAAAGUUCAAUCUCAUUACUCCUUCCAUAUUUCCAAUUCUCCUCAAGAACACCAAAGAUGAAAUUUUUUAUUUGCGAUUUAGAUUGAACUCGUCUCAACUCAUAUCCAAGAUAUCGAUUUCAGAAAUCAUCCAAAAAAAAAAAAGAUUCCACCGGUGGUUUCCAAGUUAUAACUCAGGAAGAACAAAUUAAAGUCUCUAAUUUUGAUUGUGGGAGGUGAAAAAACAAGAAUUAGUGGGCUAAUUUGUUAUGAAACUCUUCAAUUUUGAGUUUUGCAACUCUUUACAGUCCCACUUCUUAAAAUAAUGUCAAGUGAUUGAAUUGAUAGACUUGAUGGUCUGGGUUCAGUUGAUUAUUGUAUGACAUCUAACUUUUGAUGCCCAUUUUCUGUUUGUAGCUUUCAUAGUCAUAAGUUUUAAGUGCUUGAAACAUCAACAUCUUUUUUCUUGUGGAAAUAGGACUGAAAGUUUGAGUUUUUA